UCCGUCGAAAAGGCAAGGGACGUUUGAUUCACAGCUCUUAAUUUUAGGAAGAAUGAGUAAAUGAAUGAAUAACCCGGGCGAAUCAAAAAGGUAUCUCGCUGGUAUGCAAUUCGUUUGACAUGCUGUCUACUUAACUCUGUCGGGUCAUUGGCCGAUGUAAAAUUUUUAGACGGUUGUUUUAGAUUUCUGCUUAAAAUUGACGUGUUCCAUAAAUUUUAUGCCUGUCGAUUACCCGUUCCUUUCCUUUUCGGCGGAUAAGAAAAUGACAGGUAUAACUUAAAAUAAAAUUAGUGGUGUUUACAGGAAUUAGCACCAAUAUUGUUGUAAUUAUAGAUAUCAGUGCUCUUAUCAAAGUGGAUUUGUAUACGCGUUUUGCAUCAAUCUUUUAACACGUGUUAUUGUACAGAGAAUGUAUAAUGUAAUCAUAAGUAUUAGGUCGGCUGCAGUUGGACAUAAUUGGCUGGAUAUUUUAUUAAAAAGCUGUAACUGUUUCGAAUUGCGCUUAGAAAAUCUUGUAACUGAUCUAUGCGGAAAACAGGAUGACCUUCAGAUAAAUCUUAUCGUGUGGGUUGUGAGGUGGAAUAGCAACCUCAUACCCCCCUCAGCUAAAUAAGACUUAUAGACAGUAAAAUGUAGUGAUAUGUACUGCAUUUAGUGUCACAAACUUUUUUUUGUAAAUUACUGUCAUAUGGUAAUUACUCGAACACUGGAGGUCAAUAUUAUUACAAUGAACGCAAAAAUAUGUUAGAAUCUUUUGCAUUUUACAAAUAGUUGCGAAUUUUAUACGCCACACGUAUAUGUAACGCAAUUAGGCCCUGCGCAGACGACAGACUAUCCGUGACGCACUUUUUAGUCUGUGAAAAUAUAACCUAUGCAAUUAUAUGCAGUAACGCACACGACGCGCAAAAAGUCCGGCGCGUUACUGCAUAUAAUUGCAUAGGUUAUAUUUUCACAGACUAAAAAGUGCGUCACGGAUAGUCUGUCGUCUGCGCAGGGCCUUAUGGCGCCACCAGCAAAUGCAUUGUAUUUAUCUGUAGGUUUCUCUACAAAUGUCUAGAUUGUAUGUAACCAAUGCUCUGUGAAAGUUGAUUAUCUAUAAUGAUUAAGAAUAUUUUGCUGCACAUUUUGGCUUAAGUAAUUUUAGUUAUUUUACAAGGUUGCAUAUUUGUGAUGAUUUUCGUAAGGCCUGUGGUUGCCUGCGUUUAGUACCUAUUUAUUAUUAAAUUCUAGUUCUUAAUUUAGUUAUAUAUAAAUUUUAGUUAGUUCUUGUAAGAUUUUUUAGCAAUUUUGAUGUCUUUUUUUGCAAUUCGCCAAAUCUUUUGUUUGAUCGUCGAUUUUCAGUUAAGUUUUGUUUUGCGAAAUUUUAUUUUUUUGUGUUGUUAUUUUUAAGAAAGUGGUGCCAGGUGGAUAGGACGGGCGAAGUACUUUUUUAUAUUUGCAUUCUUUGUAAACGCAUUUGACAAUACAGAAGCUUCAGGUUUAGUAAGCGGACCCCUUGAAAACGGGAUUAUUUAUGUACGAAGAGGUGCUGGAUCGCCCAUCAAAGCAAAGCUUUAUCCAAUUCAAACAUUAAUUUAAUAAUAUUUUACAGUUAAUAUCACAAACUGGCAACCACUGUUACAUAAAUAAAAAAAAACUAAAGGUUUUGUUCCACUGGCUGAUGUGUAAUAAUAAUUUGCGUAUUUUUCGAUGCAUCGAUGGAAUAACUCCAUGUGCGUUGCUCGGUCACUAUGUACCAUAUAGUAAUCAACCAAAACUGGCAAUGUACUUGUGGAACUUUGUCGAUAAAACAAAGAAAAGUGAUUACGUAAAUUAUUUUUUUGAGCUUAAUAAGUUUAUAAUUGCAUUCCUAUAGAACAAUAAAGUGUGAUUCCAAUAGUGUUUGCAAAUAAUACCGAUAAUAAUUUUGUUUGCGAUUAUUUAUUGAUGUAAUUUAUAAGUUUUGUAAUAAUUUAUAUUGUAGUGAUUAAAGCACCUGUAAAGAC